AGUCUCCUCCCUCAGAAAGCAGGAGGGGCGGAACACGCAGGGACGGCUUCUCCCUCGCAGGCAGGCUUCUCAAGGCUACCUGGAAAGGAGUUGACCAGCAGCAAGAGAGCUGGUUUUGAGCCACGAUUUGCCACCAGACAGCAGAGCCAGACAGCAGAGCAGCAAGAAGACAUUGGGCGGGGGCUGAGGAUUAGCCCAAACAAAACACCAAAGAACGCAAAUCUGAGGUUCAGCACGAGGAGGGAGAAUACAGCUCGGCCCCUGGGUGUGGGCUUUCUCUUUCGCGUGUGUUCAUUCGUUGCACUUACUAACCUCGAGCAAGCGCUGGGCGCGGAGGGUCCAGGCGAAAUCGAGGACCCCCGUGGUGCUCAGUUUUGGGGGGCGGGGGCUGGUGGUCCCAGCUGCUGACACCAAGACAGUGGAAGCUCAGGUUACACCAAGCCAGGUCUCAUGCUUAUUCCAUUUUAAUGGAAACUGAGACCAAGGGCAAGGCUGGGAUUAGCCCGGCGUUGCAGGGGGGCGAAGGGCCGAGCCCGAUCUUGAACGGAUGGCACGCCCGGAAUCGGGAGAGGCCUCCUCCCGCGUGAUCAUGCACCUGGGCUGGGCGAGGAAAUCAGGGCCUGGAGGAGAAGCAUUCCGGCCGCCAUCCCGCUGCCCGGGGCCGCGGGGGGCCUGGCCAAGGUGACCCUGCGGGAGGAGGAGAGGGUCCCCGCCCUCUCGGCCGAGGCAACCUCCUCCAUCUUCCCCGUCGGCUGGGCUUCUCCUCAGGCCCCGAGCGCCUCCCCCCCACCCCGGGCUACCCCGAGAGCGGGACAUUUCGGGCUCUUGUCCGCCCCCCCAGGCCACCUCGGGCCAUGUCCUAGCUCUGCCCUCCGGCCCGGGGAAGAGUCGAGGGGGGGCCGAGGAGGAGGCGCUCGUCCCGGUCCGGGCUCCUUCCCCCCCCCCGCCCCGCCCUGCCUCCCGGUGCCCGCUCCCGCGGCCGUCCUCCCUUCCUCCUCG
rnacentral:lncRNA from 1 species